UGAGUUGGCCGGGUGGUCGCGGCCGGGCACUGACCCGGUCGAGGAAAGUCGGGGCUCCGCAGGGCAGGGUGCUGGCUAGCGGCCAGUCGGGGCGACCCGCAGGAAAGUGCCACAGAAAGCAGACCGCCGAUGGACGGCUCCGGUCGUCACAGGUAAGGGUGCAACGGUGCGGUAAGAGCGCACCAGCGUCCGGGGUGACCCGGGCGGCUCGGCAAACCCCACCCGGAGCAAGGUCAAGCAGGGGACGGCUGGCCCGGCCGAUGUCCCCAGGUGGACCGCGCAGAUGGAUGGCCACCUAUCCGGGCCGGAAACGGUCUGGGUAACAGAACCCCGCUUACAGGCCAACUCACCGU
rnacentral:RNase_P_RNA from 1 species